UUCAGGCUUCUUCCUUGUCAUCGUCACCAUCUAAAGAGUAUAGAAGAGAUGGAUCUACCUUGGCCCGAGCUUUUUCUUGCCUUUACUUCGGUAGAUUUCAUAUCCUUUCGCAUACAUAUGGAUGAUCUUAUUGUUCAGCUCGACGGAUUUUCUGUAUUCUGCCUGGAUAUCCCUACGAAAUUCUUCGGUCAGUGGCGGACUCAAAUUGUUAAGGGCCCGAAGCUCUUUGAGCUCUUCUUCGAGCUUCUGACGAUGUGCCAGAUGAUUUGAUCCUUUAGCUUGACAGAUCGACAUUUGUAUCAGUGAUGACCCGAUGAGUGGCCUUGGUCGUUUUCAGUUCUUCUUUGAUCUUGUCAAUAUCCUUCCGAAGGCAUUCAUUGUUGAAGAGAGCAAUAUCAAGAUUGUUUCUUUCUUUUGCCAACACAGACUUCCGGAUGGCGUUAUCUCUUCGGCAUUCUCUUCGACUUCUUUAUAUUUGAGACAGAGGAACCCGGAGACAGUGUUUACUUGCAGAUGACUAAUAUUAAUCGAUCAGUUCAGAUUGAUGGUCGAAUCUCAACUUCCUUUAGUCUGGUAUUUCACUCCUUCACCCAUCAGUUCCAUGAUGGAAUUAUUGCCG
rnacentral:lncRNA from 1 species